rnacentral:rRNA from 1 species
UUUUCAUGAGAGUGGCGCACGGGUGCGUAACACGUAUGUAACCUACCUUUAAUCAGGGGGAUAGCCUCUCGAAAGAGAGAUUAACACCGCAUAAAAUCAAUUUAUGGCAUCAUAGAAUGAUCAAAUAUUUAUAGGAUUAAGAUGGGCAUGCGGAACAUUAGCUAGUUGGUAAGGUAACGGCUUACCAAGGCUACGAUGUUUAGGGGAUCUGAGAGGAUGACCCCCCACACUGGUACUGAGACACGGACCAGACUCCUACGGGAGGCAGCAGUAAGGAAUAUUGGUCAAUGGGCGCAAGCCUGAACCAGCCAUGCCGCGUGCAGGAAGACGGCCCUACGGGUUGUAAACUGCUUUUGUACCGGAAUAAACCUUUGUAUGUAUACGAAGCUGAAUGUACGGUAAGAAUAAGGAUCGGCUAACUCCGUGCCAGCAGCCGCGGUAAUACGGAGGAUCCAAGCGUUAUCCGGAUUUAUUGGGUUUAAAGGGUGCGUAGGUGGCCUAUUAAGUCAGGGGUGAAAGACGGUAGCUCAACUAUCGCAGUGCCUUUGAUACUGAUGGGCUUGAAUACACUAGAGGUAGGCGGAAUGUGACAAGUAGCGGUGAAAUGCAUAGAUAUGUCACAGAACACCAAUUGCGAAGGCAGCUUACUAUAGUGUCAUUGACACUGAGGCACGAAAGCGUGGGGAUCAAACAGGAUUAGAUACCCUGGUAGUCCACGCCCUAAACGAUGAACACUCGAUGUUGGCGAUAUACGGUCAGCGUCUAAGCGAAAGCGU